CUGCAUCCCAUUCCUGAGUGUCAGUUUUCCAUUUUUCAACCAAAGUUUGUUCGCUAAGAGGGUCCCGUGAUUACCAUAUUUGGGAACUACAUAUAUCCCAUAUUUUCCCCUAUCAGUAUAGAGGACCAGGUCUCCUUUCCUAUAAGAUUAAAGACUGAUUUUCUAGUUUCAGGAGUAGAACUAAAAGCACAUUCUUAUUCCCCUAAUAAGUGAUCUUUUAUGAAAUAACAGAUUCACACACAAGCUUUAAUGAUGCCUCCUGUCUCCUCAAGAUCCAGUGGAAAAGAGAAUGGGAUGUAUGCCAAAGAGGAGAGUCAAGGACUAGAGAUUCUCAGCACUCUCAACACACUGCACAGAGAUGGAGUUUUCUAGCUCUCCGUCUACAUUCCUGAUGAACUUUAGCAGUACAUUGUCAAGGCAAAGAGGGAUAAUCUGAAGUGGAAAAGGAAGAGGAAGAAGAAGAGGAAGAAGAAGAGAUAAUUUCCUGUUUCCUUUGGAGAGUCAUAAAAUUAAAGGUUAUUUUACUGCAAUUUUUCUUCUCCUAAAUAUUUGGAUAACACACUGGGGUGACUAAAUGGAUAGUUUGAAUCUGCUGUGAAGACGGCCAAUCUGUAAAGAAAAGCUAAGAGAACGGGGAGUCCAAAUGCACUUGGAGUACCUGGAAAUUACACCUGGCAGCCAGCAACCUCUGUGCUUCUUUGUUGUACCGUAUUUUCUGCCGGCGGCUUUCAGGGGUGCCUUUAUUUCACUGAUUACUAAAUUAGUGUUGGAUUUAAUGAGAGAGAUCUGUCCUUUUAUUUGUGCCUUUUUUCCUUCUUCUUACUUAAAAAAAAAAACAGGAUCAGCCUCACAAAGGCUUUGCACAUUUCUAGCUUGCUUUUGAAGAUGUGACCAUUUGCUCCCAUCUAUCUCCAUGGUAAUAAGCUCCCUCCACCCCCAAUUUUCCAAGCCUCAGAUACUUAGGAAGCUUCAGGACUGGAGUAGGGUUGCAUGCUAAAAUAAUGCAGAGAAACAAAUUGUUCUCUGUAAAUAGGCCUCAUCUUCAAAGCAUUCGAAUAUUCUCCAAAAUGUGAUCCAUUUCUCUUUGCUUGAAAACAGGCGUAUUUUAGAUAAAAUAUUCGAAAGUAAAGUUUCGCAUCUCAGGAAAUGCAUCUCAGUAAGAGCCUGUAUUCUAAAACAAGACUUGGACAGGAUUUUAAAACUGGAAGUGGCCUCAGACUUCAUCUAGUCCAAGACUUUUAUUGUACACUUGAGGAAACUGAGGCUUUAGUACAGCUCAUUGUUUUGGGUCUAAUCAUGACUGGGGCUGGGACUUCGGUCUCACAGCAAGGUAUUCUUUCCUCUAUACCAAUAUUUCAAUAAUAAGAAUAAUAAUUAUUAAUUAUAUUACUAAAAAUAGCUAUUAUUAGUAGCGAUGAAAGAGUUAAUGCACAGAAGAUGUGCUAUAAAAUGCAAAUAACUGUCAGGAUGUCUAUGCCAGGCAACUUUUCACUGUAACUUGAAGUCCUUUAGAAGUUGAUAUUUAGGUUUUCAAAUCAUGAACUCGCAAACCAUAUGCUCACAUAAAUUAAUAUACUAAAAGACAAUUUAUUCAUAUACGC
rnacentral:lncRNA from 1 species